ACUUGGAUAACCGUAGGAAUUCUAGAGCUAAUACAUGCGUCAAACCCCGACUUCGCGGAAGGGGUGUAUUUAUUAGAUAAAAAACCAACUCACGGGGCAACUCGUGGUACUGGUGAUUCAUAAUAAACGAACGAAUCGCACGGCUUUACGCGGGCGAUGAAUCACUCAACUUUCUGCCCUAUCAACUUUGGAUGGUAGGAUAGAGGCCUACCAUGGUUGUAACGGGUAACGGGGAAUUAGGGUUUGAUUCCGGAGAGGGAGCCUGAGAAAUGGCUACCACAUCCAAGGAAGGCAGCAGGCGCGCAGAUUACCCAAUCGCAAUUCGCGGAGGUAGUGACAAGAAAUAACAAUACGGGUCCCAAUGGGAUUCGUAAUUGGAAUGAGAACAAUUUAAACUCCUUAUCGAGGAUCCAUUGGAGGACAAGUCUGGUGCCAGCACCCGCGGUAAUUCCAGCUCCAAUAGCGUAUGCUAAAGUUGCUGCGGUUAAAAAGCUCGUAGUUGAACCUCGGGGUGGUGAUGUCUGUCCGCCUUCGGUGUGAUGGGCAUUAUCACCCUUCCUUCUGACUGACAAUGCUGCCCUUCACUGGGUGGUGUUGAAGGUCAGGUCUUUUACUUUGAGAAAAUUAGAGUGCUCAAAGCAGGCGUUUGCUUGAAUAAUACAGCAUGGAAUAAUAAAAUAGGACUUUGGUUCUAUUUUGUUGGUUUCUAGGACUGAAGUAAUGAUUAACAGGGACAGUUGGGGGCAUUAGUAUUCCGUAGCCAGAGGUGAAAUUCUUAGAUUUACGGAAGACUAACAAGUGCGAAAGCAUUUGCCAAGGAUGUUUUCAUUAAUCAAGAACGAAAGUUUGGGGAUCGAAGACGAUCAGAUACCGUCGUAGUCCAAACCAUAAACGAUGCCAACUAGGGAUUGGAGGACGUGCUUAUUACUCCUUCAGCACCUUACGAGAAAUCAAAGUUUUUGGGUUCCGGGGGGAGUAUGGUCGCAAGGCUGAAACUUGAAGGAAUUGACGGAAGGGCACCACCAUGGAGUGGAGCUUGCGGCUUAAUUCAACCCAACACGGGAAAACUUACCAGGUCCAGACACAACUAGGAUUGACAGAUUGAGAGCUCUUUCUUGAUUUUGUGAAUGGUGGUGCAUGGCCGUUCUUAGUUGGUGGAGUGAUUUGUCUGCUUAAUUGCGUUAACGAACGAGACCUUAACCUGCUAAAUAGUUCUGCGAUGGUUACAUUGUAGUUAACUUCUUAGAGGGACUAAUAGCGUUUAGCUAUUGGAAGUUUGAGGCAAUAACAGGU
rnacentral:rRNA from 1 species